GAUGAACGCUGGCGGCGUGCCUAAUACAUGCAAGUCGAGCGAACGGACGAGAAGCUUGCUUCUCUUAUGUUAGCGGCGGACGGGUGAGUAACACGUGGAUAACCUACCUAUAAGACUGGGAUAACUUCGGGAAACCGGAUCUAAUACCGGAUAAUAUUGUGAACCGCAUGGUUCAAAAGUAAAAGACGGUCUUGCUGUCACUUAUAGAUGGAUCCGCGCUGCAUUAGCUAGUUGGUAAGGUAACGGCUUACCAAGGCAACGAUGCAUAGCCGACCUGAGAGGGUGAUCAGCCACACUGGAACUGAGACACGGUCCAGACUCCUACGGGAGGCAGCAGUAGGGAAUAUUCCGCAAUGGGCGAAAGCCUGACGGAGCAACGCCGCGUGAGUGAUGAAGGUCUUCGGAUCGUAAAACUCUGUUAUUAGGGAAGAACAUAUGUGUAAGUAAAUGUGCACAUCUUGACGGUACCUACUCAGAAAGCCACGGCUAACUACGUG
rnacentral:rRNA from 1 species